rnacentral:rRNA from 1 species
CCCUUAGAUGUUCUGGGCCGCACGCGCGCUACACUGAUGAAUUCAACGAGCACUAACCUGUGCCGAAAGGUUCGGGUAAUCUUGUGAAAUUUCAUCGUGAUGGGGAUUGAUUAUUGCAAUUUUUAAUCAUAAACGAGGAAUGCCUAGUAAGCGUGAGUCAUCAGCUCACGUUGAUUACGUCCCUGCCCUUUGUACACACCGCCCGUCGCUCCUACCGAUUGAAUGUGCCAGUGAAAAGUUCGGAUUGGAGAUAGGGGACGGCAACGUAUCCUAUUUCCGAGAAAAUCUUUAAACUUUCCCAUUUAGAGGAAGGAGAAGUCGUAACA